rnacentral:rRNA from 1 species
CGUCUAGGCGGUUGGGUAAGCGGGGUGUGAAAGCUGAGGGCUUAACCCUCAGAGUGCGCCGCGAACUAUCUGACUAGAGGGCAGGUGAAGGGGGUGGAAUUCUCGGUGGAGUGGUGAAAUGCGUAGAGAUCGAGAGGAACACCAGUGGCGCAAGCGGCCUCCUAGCCUGCAACUGACGCUGAAGCGCGACAGCGUGGGGAGCAAACG